UACGUAGGGUGCAAGCGUUGUCCGGAAUUAUUGGGCGUAAAGAGCUCGUAGGCGGUCUGUCGCGUCUGCUGUGAAAACUCGGGGCUUAACCCCGGGCCUGCAGUGGGUACGGGCAGACUAGAGUGCGGUAGGGGAGACUGGAAUUCCUGGUGUAGCGGUGAAAUGCGCAGAUAUCAGGAGGAGGACCUGUGGCGAAGACGAGUCUCUGGGCGUGAACUGACGCUGAGGAGCGAAAGCAUGGGGAGCGAACAGG
rnacentral:rRNA from 1 species